UGAAGCCACCUGAGACCAGCAGCAGAGAGAGCUGGACACCCUGGACCUGGAGGGGCAGAGGGAGAAUUACGGGGUGCCCCAAGCUCUCCUUUCAUCCUCUGAUCUCCUGCCAGUGCCCCUUUGGCCAGACCCAAUGAAGCCAGAGGGCAGGGGUCCAAGUGAAGCAGUCCCUGGAGGUCAGCCUCCUGGGGUGUGCAGGGCAGUUGUGAUACUGUGAUUUGUGAUAAGAAAUACAUAUUUAGUCUUCUUCUCAUUCCUGGCACAGGGCUAACCAAGACCCUGGGAAUUUGCUAAGUGAGGAGAGUGAUAAAGGUGCCUUUUGUUAUGUUAAUGAGGCAACUUGGAAGCACCUAAGGAUGGGUGCUGGUUGCCAGGGGAAUCAACCCUGUGAUUGGAGGGUUGGAACUUCCAGUCGUGCCCCCUGACCUCUGGAGAGGGGAGAGGGGCUGGAGAUUGAAUCAAUCACCAAUGGCCAGUGAUUUCAUCAAUCAUGCCUAUGAAACGAAGCCUCCAUAAAAAACCAAAGGACUGGGUGUGAGAGUUGGUGGGCACGUGGACGUGCUGGGAGAGUGGUGCACCUGGAGAGGGCACGGAAGCUCCGAGCCUUUCCCCAUGCCUUGCCCUAUGCGUCUCCUCCAUCUGGCAGCUCCUGAGUUAUAUCCUUUCUAAUGAAUCAGUAAUCUAGUAAGUAAAAUGUUUCUCUGAGUUCUGUGAGUUGCUCUAGCAAAUUAAUCAAACUGGAGGAGGAGUCCUGGGAAUCUCUGAUUUAUAGCCAGUCGGUCAGAAGUACGGAUGACACCCUGGACUUACUGCUGGCAUCUGAAGUGGGGAUGGGGGAUGUCAGGCCAGUCUUGUGGCACUGAGCCCUUAACCUGUGAAAUCUGAUGCUGUCUCCAGGUAGACAGUGUCAGAAUUGAGUUGAAUCGUAGGACACCCAGCUGGUGUCCUAGAACUGCUUGUUGGUGGUGUGGGAAACCGCACCCCCCCCACACACAGACACCAGCCCCACACGUUGGAAUUGGUGACCAGAACCCAAAAAGAGAUGUAGUGGGUGGGAAUCUGGAGAGGCACUGACUGCUCAGAUCCUCACAGGAACCUAUUCAGGUGGCACCAUUACUUCCCCGUUUUACAGAUGAGGAAACUGAGGUUCGGCUAUGUGAUUUCCGGGUUAUCUGCUCCCGGUCUGCAGCUACCUUAUUGUUUUCAUAUCAGUGUCUUUCACAGAGCAAGUGGUUUUGAUUGUAAUGAAGUCCAAUUUAUCAAUUAUUUGGGCACUUUUUAGUAUUCCAUUUUAAUUUAUCUCGUGUUUUUCACUGUAUCUCUUUGUAUAGAUUUUUUUAGUGGAUGAUCUAGUAAUGACAAUAUUCAGACUUACCUUUUCACAGUCUGUUUAGACUCAGUAUUUUACCAUUUCAAGCAGAAUGUGCAAUAUAGUCCUUGGACCUUUACUCUCCUCUAUGUUGUAGCUGUCUUUUGUAUUAUUACACGUAUGGACAUUGACAGUCCCAUCAGGCAGUGUUAGACUUUUUGCUUUCAAUCAUCAAAUGUAUUGUAAAGAACUCAAGAGGAGAAGAGUCUGUUAUAUUUAUCCAGGUAAUUACCAUUUCUGUUGCUCUUCUUUCAUUCUUCAUGUUUCAAGUGUCCCUUUCUGUCUGAAAAACCUCUUUUAGCAGUUCUUUUAGAGUAGGUGUGCUGGCAGUGAAUUCUCUUGGUAUUCCUUCAUCUGAAAAUGUCCUUAUUUUGCCUUCAUUCCUGAAGGAUGUUUGUUUAUGGAUUUAGAAUUCUGGAUCGACAGUUUUUUCUUUCAGCACUUUACACAUGUUCCACUGACUUUUGACCACUGUGGUUUCUGGUGAAAAAUCCAGAGUCAUUCCAACUUUUAUAAGUAAUGCGUCAUUUCUCUUGCUACUUUCAAGAUUGUUGUCUUUGUUUCUAACUUUCAGCAGUUUAAUUGUAUGUCUGGGCAUGAAUUUCUUUGCAUUUAUUCUUUUUGGGGUUUGCUGAGCUCCUUGAAUUCAUAGGUUUAUGUUUUUCUCCAGGCUUGGGACGUUUUCAGCCAUUAUUUCUUCAUGUAAUUUUCCACACCAUUCUCUCUCUCCUCUCGAGACUCCAGUACCACGAAUGUCAGACCUUUCGUGUUCUCACGUGUCUCUGAAGCUCUAUUCUUUUUUUCCCCUGUCUUUUUUUCUCUCUGUUGUUAAGAUUUGAUAAUUUCUAUUGAAUGAUCUUCAGGCUCAUUGGAUCUUUCCUCUCUCAUCUCCAGUCUACUAUUGAACCCAUCUAAUGAAUUUUUAUCUUGAUUAUUGUAUUUUUUAGCUCUAAAAAUUAGAUUUGAUUCUUCUUUCUGUUUCUUUGCUAAGACUUUCCGCUUGUCUUUUCAUUUACUUGUUUGAGCUUGGUGGUUGUUAUUUUUUAAUAAUAGCUGCUUCAGAGUCUUUGUCCGGUAAUUCUAACGUCUGAGCUGAGAUCUUCCUGGUUCUUACUGUGCUAAGGAAUUUUCUAUCUGGACGUUUUUUAUAUUGCUGUGAGAGUCUGGGUCCUGUUUAAAUCCCAGGCAAAUGCUGAUCUUUUUACCUUAGCAGGCAGUUGAUUCGACUGGGCUCAGGCUGUGAGGUCCAGCCACCUUCUCUGGGUUGUGGUUUUGGUGUCGGUUCUGUUUUCAAGUCUUCGCAGUGCUGUGCAGCUCUGUGCUGUGUGUGUGGCACUCAGUGGGGCCUGGGCAGUGGCCUGCACUGUAGUUCAUUUCUCAGUGUCUUCGGGAUGCUGUUUAAGGUCAGACCCAGGCAUGCGCAGCUUGGGGGUGAGCCUGUGAGUCCAUACACAACUUUGUUUGGUUGCUUUCCUGAGUUCCCCACUCUGCCAUCUCCUUGGUAACCUCUGGUUCCCUGGUGUUCUUCCUUUUGGUCUUCUGGCCAGACAGCUGGGACUUUAUUUACCCUGCUCCACCACUGGCUUCCGGUGACCGCGCCUGUGACCAGGGCCAAGUGGUGGGAGGACAGUGAGAGGAAAAAUUCACCGGGCUUUGCUCCAUUCUCCAGGGGCUGGAGGGGAAGGAUCCCCUGCCCGAGCAGAGUUCCAGGCAGCCACAGGCUCCCUUUCUCACUGCUUUGUCACUGCAGCAAGAUUGUCUGGGGGCUGGAGGGCGAGAAAACAGAGAAACGGGAAAGACCCUUGGGGAUUCCCCCCACCUCUGAGUGUUGGGAGUCCCCUUUUCCACUGCUCAAGCCAGAAAUAGAGGGCUCCUCCUGGCCCUCUCUCUGCCCCGACCUGUUGCCCAUAUCAGGUUUCAGGCUGCCUGAAAACCAGGCUGGGAAGUACUGGUUUGGCAGUAUUUUGAAUUCUGCUCUUCUUCCCCAAUUCACUUACUUCUGUCUACUUUCUGAGUCCUCAAAUAGCUGCCCCACGCAUUGUGUCCAUGUAUUCUAGCUGCUUUCAGGGGAGUGACAGGGUCAGGUGUGCAUACCCCAUCUUGCCCAGAACCAGAACUUGUGUGCUUUUUUUUAAAACAUAUACAUAUGUGCUCCUGUGCGCACACACACACUCUUGCUUAAACGUUAAGAGGCCCAAAUCUGGAAAGGUAACUGGGCUUCUUUCCAGCACAGUGUUGAACAAAUAGCAGUUCUCACAAGCUUGCUCCAUGUGGGCCUCAGCCAUGUGAGUCUCAGUCAUGAGAGAGCCUCACAGAAGCUUCAGUCUGGGUUUCAGAAUCUGGUUUGAACAGUGUGUUUUCCUCUGACCUCAAAUUGUUCACAGUGAGCUGACGGUCUCCCACUGCCCAGGCACAGGCAAGGGCCCAAAGCUCAGAGGCCAUUCGAAAUUGGGGGUAAACAAGCUAUUUCUGUAAAGGCCAGAUAGUAAAUACUUUCGGCUUUGCAGACCCUGCAGUCUCUGUUGCAACCACUCCGUUCUUAUGUAGUGUGAAAGCUGCUGUACUUGCCACGGAAGUGACAGGGCCUGGGUUGUUCCAAUAAAAGUUUAUUUACAAAAACAGGCGAAAGGCUGGGUUUGGUCCAGGGGCUAUGGUUUGCCAGCCUCCCUUCUAAGUGAUACUUCCACAUGAUUAUAAAAACACUCUGCCCUUUCUCUUCAGUUCUAAAUAAAAAGCAAACUUUCACCUUUCAGGUAUGUUAGAAGAAAGGCCACUUAACCAUUGACUUUCAUUUUAACGAAAUUCCCUCCUUGUCACCUCGCUCCCAAGCCUACCUGGCUCAAUUCACUGACUCUAGUCGAGUGCCCAUUGCAGGUACUGCGUUGUCCUUGCUGCUGGGACCCUUCCCCCUGCACCCAUGCACCCUCCCCCUCAAUCCCCUAUAAGCAACGAGGUCCCCCUGGGCCUCGGGCUCACCAUCUGCAGUUGGAGACAGAGCCUUUCGUGACCAAAGCAAGGCAGGCUGUGAGAAGGGUUGUGGGCCACAAACCAAGUGUGAAGGAAAACCAGGCCCAGGGGUUGAGUUGUUAGGGAAGCCUCUGGGGGUGGGGGUGGAGAGGUGUGCGGAGGGGCCGUCUUAGGCCAGGGGAAUGGCAGGCAGAACGAGGCAGGGGCUGGCACUACAGUGGCCGCUCGAUACUCUUAGUUCAACCAGCCUCAGAUCAGCUCUUCUUAAAGCUGACCCAUCAAUCGGUUACCGUCUUGUCCGGGAAAUGCCAAAACAAUCAUUUGUCAAGGAAUAAAGCGGAGGGGAGAAUGUCCUAAGCGACUGGAAACGGGCUGGCACUUUCCUGUACAAAGCCUUAAUCAUAAUUGAUCAUGAGUUUGCCAGGUCGAAUUAAACUUGCGCUACAGAGCACCAGGCUGGAAGCACUUGGAUUUGCCUCUCUCCUCUGUGCUCUGUAGAGCUAAGCUCUUUCUCCUUUUUACCAGCAAUGCUCACCCCGUUUGGCCACAUAUUGAGGGGUACUACUCCUUUGGUGUGAGUGUACCCAAAUCACCCAGACUGGAACCCCUCAGAGGGCUGGGGGCUGUACUUAAAAGCACAGCUGGAUACAGCCUUGCACAUUAGGUAAAUGCAAUAUGCCAAGAGUUCUUGGAACCAGGGCUGUCAGCACGAUUCUCUGUGGCUCUAAACACACGAGAGAGGAGUAAUUCUCCAGUUCUUGUCCCAGGAAUCUCACUUGCCCUGAGGAACGGGGGCUACUCACAAGCCACAGUCACAGCCUUGCCAAACAGAAGUCCCAGCAGAGAUGGUGCCACGGUCUGUCACAGUGUCAGCAAAGGCAGCAGGGCUUUCCCACGCCUCAUUCAGAUUCCCUUUUAAGACGCUUGUGACUCCCAACCACCCAUGAUCCAGGCGCUUCCUCAGGAACUGCUGUGUCCCGGCAGGUCUGCUCGCAGGCCCUCCCUCACGGUCAAGAGUGUUUGCUUUGAAAGGCUGCUUGCUGCAGUGGAGGUCUGGAGCCUGAGCCCAGCUCACUACUGGCACGCAAAAGGCCCUGGGGUCCGGGCAAGCCGGAGAGCAAGCCCAGCUUCUCUGCUCAAACUCUCCACCUGGUGCAGGCAUCGUACUCAGCUCCCUACCCAGCCUCACACAACCCUACAAGGACAGUGUUACUAUUGUCCCCAUUUUACAGAUGCAGGACGAGAGGCACAGCUAAAGCCACAUAGCUAGAGCAGCAGAGCUGGCGUGAGGACCCAGGCUGGUGGAACACAGGAACACAGGGCAGGCGCUUUGACUCCUGGCCACAGGGCCAUGCUGUGUAGACCUGGCAGGGAGAUCCAAGGCCGGGCAAUGGCUGCGUGCUCUCUGUUGGGCCCACAGGUCUGAUGGCUCCCUCCUUCACUGUCCUUGCCAAAUGCCUUGCCAGUUUUUGUUGGCCCACUGGCUAGAGUUUCCUAAAGGCGAUCAUAUGGUCAUUUGUUUAUUCCUUUAUGCAACAAAUGCCACAGCAGUGAGCCAAAGAGUUAAACGCCAUACUCUCAAGGAACACAGAUGCUAGCUGUGGGGAGACAGACAGUAAACCAAAUAAAUAAGUAAAACAUGCAGUCCUGAUGUUAGCUAGAGAUGGGUGCUUGGGAGAUACAGAGAAAGCAGCCCUGGCUUGGGGCCUGGCAGAUAUGCCAGCUGAGAGGGUGUAUCUACAAGGAGGGAGGGAUGCCUCUGUGGGCCCCUCUCCCCAGUCCAUGUCCCAGAGCUGGGUGGAAGGCCGAGGGCGGGAUGGAGGCAGGAAGGGAGGAACCCGCUGUCAUAUUAUUGAUGACCCUCAACCAACUGGCAUGGAAGCUGGGGCAUGUGGACCGCUGAGUGACUCCCCCAAAGACGCCAUCCUUCAUAAUCUUGAAAUGUGUGAAACCAUCUUAUUUUGUGUGUUAUUUUUAUAAGUUACUGCAUCCCAAGUGAAACGUUUCUGGUAUGUAAGUGUGCAGCCUGGAAUUAGAGGUGUGGACUCAUGGGGUUGGGUUGUUGGGUGCAUUCCACUCUGAGAUACACUCCCUUGAACUCGUGCCUGACACAGGAUCCAGCUGGCCUGGGCAGGUUUGUUCAUAUGAUUUUUUAAAAAGUCUCCAUAACUCACUGAGUCAUGGUUUCUAGGGAAAAUAUGGUGGUUCUCUCUAUGAUUUCAACUAGAUGUCCCAAAUUUGCCCUCAGCGAUCUAGAAUAGUCUCUCAAACAUGUAUUCAACUUAUGUAAGAGUUUUUGAGCUUUUCUAAAAGCUUGGUCUGCCCAGCCUCUCUGCACAGUGUACCUGCAGGGUGGGCAAAGUGUGAGACUAGGCGUCCCAAGUCCUUGUCAACAGCUGCCACCACCAUCACAAUGGUAAUAACAUUAAUAACAGUAUUAUUAAUGAAUUAUAUUAUAAGUGAUAUUAUUAUUAGUUACAUUGUACUAUAUUACUAUAUUGUGCAUUAUAAUUAAUACUAUUGCUGAAUUAAUGCUCUUUAUUGAUAUUGAUAAUGAUAUUAAUUAUCAUUAUUAUUAUUACUAUUUUGAUGAUGGCAGUAGAUGUCUGCAUUCUAGAGACUUGGGACACUGGGUCUGGCACUUUGUCCACUAUACCACAUUGCAGAUGCACUAUGCCUUAAUAAUAAUCACUAGGUGAUUAUUAUUCUGCUGUUGGUGACAAUCGACUGGGUGUUGUGGGCCGAGUGGUACGUCCAUGAUCUCAGUUAGUCUUCACAACACCCAUGGAGGUGGACUGACCUCACCCGUUUUAGGGAUGCAGAACCUAACACUUGAGUCUUGCUCAAGGUCCCACAGUCAGACCCAGAGCUGAGAUGCAAACACGGAGUCAUGCUUUGGGCCCCCCCUGUUCUUGUCCCACCAGCACAUGGCUGUGUCCCCCUGACAAGUGCUUCGUUUCCUGAGGCCUCCAUUUCUCCAUCUGUAAAACGACGGGCUUGGACUCGGGCCUUGAAGCCCCUUCCAACCUUAUGUUCUGAUUCUGAGUCGGUUCAAGCCAUUGUUACCUGCAGAGUAAAGAAAUAUCUCCUUUAAUUUGUUUUAAAAUUUCUUCUGAGCUUCAAGGGGCAUCCGGUACCUUUUCCAUCUCUUCCCGGUGGAGACAGGAUUCAGGAGUAAGAGUGCUUUCAAGGUUCCCGUUUGGCCUUGGCCUUCUACAGCUUGACCAUGUCCACCUGCUGCACCCCAAGGAUGGUGUUGACCUCGAGAUCCAGUGUUCAAGCUUUUGAGAACCAGUCUUCCAAUUUGAUCUUGGUGCCCUGUGCCAAGACUUCCUGUCCUCGCUCUUCAUUCCUUUAAUCAACUGUAACAAGGAUCCACCACCAGGAUCUUGCUUUUAUAAUAUUAGAUAAAAGCAUAUCAUAAAAGUAAUCAUGCCUUGUGGAUCA